UUCAGGUCAAGUUUAUACACACUGUAUGUAGAUAUACAUUUUUUUUGUUUGCAGAAUUUGGUAAAUAUUUUGGGAAGAAUAGUUGACCAUGAGCAUGAUAAAAUUGAUUUUGGUAAAAAGGUACUUUUUACAAUAUGGACGAUUUCAAAACCAGAAAGUUUUCUGGCUGUUGGAGACAGAUUUGAUUUUGGAAAAAGCACUGCCCAUGGAAUUUUUAAAGAAAUUGUUGCAGCUUUAGCUAACCUCAUAAGAGAAUAUGUUAGGUUUCCUCAAGUAAAUGAAUACAACCUCUCAACAGUUGCAUUUCAACAACGUUCUAGGGGGUUUCCUGGAGUUGUGGGUGCUAUAGAUGGCUGUCACAUCCCUAUAAAGCAACCACGGGGAAAUGAACAUGACUUUUAUAAUAGAAAGGGAUUUCACUCCAUAAUUUUACAAGGAACUUGUGACCAUAUGGGAAAGUUCAUAGACUGUUAUAUUGGUAUGCCAGGGAGGAUGCAUGAUGCUAGAGUUUUUAGAAACAGUAAUAUAUAUGAACAGUUAACAAAUGAAAAUAAUGCAUUACUACCAGCAAAUGUACAUAUUAUUGGAGAUAGUGCAUAUCCUUUAAUGACCAACGUAAUGGUCCCUUACAGAGACACUGGGCAUUUAACACCUAGUGAAAUCAAUUAUAAUGUUAAAUUAAGCUCCAUUAGAUCAAUUAUUGAGAGAGUUUUCGGAAUUUUUAAAAAUAAAUUUAGACGUCUGAAGUAUUUGGAUAUUUCUGAUCCUGAUUUUGGUAACCAAAUAAUUGCUGCUGCAGUUGUAUUAUACAAUUUUUUGGUAACACAGGGGGAAAUAAAUUUAUACGAAGAAAAUUUGGAUCUAGAAAACAUGGGACCUGUAAUUGAAUUUCAAAAUAAUGAUGUAAUUGAAAAUGAGGCUGUUCAAAAGAGAAAUAUCAUUUA